rnacentral:rRNA from 1 species
UGAGGGGUACUGCCUGCCCAGUGAAUCUAAUUUUAACGGCCGCGGUAUCCUGACCGUGCGAAGGUAGCACAAUCACUAGCCCUCUAAAUAAGGGCCGGUAUGAAUGGCAACACGAAGGCCUGACUGUCUCCUCUUUAAUAACUGAAACUUCUCUAGCCGUGCAAAAGCGGCCAUUUAAGCGCUAGACGAGAAGACCCUAUCGAGCUUAAGGGGUAAGAGACUGACUAAAAACUAAACUAGCUGACCAGCUUGGCCCGCCAAUUUACUGUCACACCUCUAGCUUUGCUCUUUCUCUCCCACCCCCUUUGGUUGGGGCAACCGCGGAGUACAACCAUCCUCCGAACCAAACUACUUUUGAAAGACAUUACGUCUUAAGUAAAACUCUUACGGCACAUGACCCGGUCAAUCCGAACAAUAAACAAAGUUACCGUAGGGAUAACAGCGUAAUCCCUCCUAAGAGCCCGCAUUGCCGGAGGGGUUUGCGACCUCGAUGUUGGAUCGGGGAAUCCUGAUGGUGCAGCCGCUAUCAAGGGUUGGUCUGUUC